UCGCUCAGUCUUUCUGCCGACUUUAAAGCGACGUUGAAAGUCAUUCACUCCGAGGUCCUUUCUAUGCUGGCCAAGAAUGCUGAACUAAAGGCCAAGCGUACUCAAUAUCUUCGAGCUGUAGCUGAGAAAGAGUCUUUACACAUGGAGAUCAACAAGGCUAAGGACGAGUUGAAAGAAAUCUCUUCCGAAGUCAUGAUUGAAGGCUCUUUGAUGGUUAACUUGGCUGCUCAGAUGAGGGAACUUCAAGCCAAAAUGGACGAUUGUAGGGCGA
rnacentral:lncRNA from 1 species